AGAAUUGAUCUGGUCAGAACGAACGCUGGCGGCAGGCCUAAGUCAUGCAAGUUGAACGGCUGUAGCAAUACAGCAGUAGCGGACGGGUGAGUAAUGUAUGGGAACGUAUCUUCUAGUGGGGAAUAUUCUUUGGAAACGAAGAGCAAUACCGCAUAAGUCCUACGGGAGAAAGUCGCAAGACGCUAGAUGAGCGGCCCAUAUUGGAUUAGCUAGUUGGUUAGGUAAUGGCUGACCAAGGCAACGAUCCAUAGCUGGUCUAAGAGGACGAUCAGCCACAUUGGGACUGAGACACGGCCCAGACUCCUACGGGAGGCAGCAGUCAGGAAUAUUGGACAAUGGGGGCAACCCUGAUCCCAGCCAUGCCGCGUGAGUGUUAAGGUCUUCGGAUUGUAAAGCUCUUUUGUGUGGGAAAAUGAUGAUGGUACCACAAGAAUAAGCACCGGCUAACUUCGUGCCAGCCGCAGC
rnacentral:rRNA from 1 species